GAUGAACGCUAGCGGCAGGCUUAACACAUGCAAGUCGAGGGGUAUUGGUUUUCGGACCAAGAGACCGGCGCACGGGUGCGUAACGCGUAUGCAAUCUACCUUUUGCAGAGGGAUAGCCCCAGAGAAAUUUGGAUUAAUACCUCAUAGUAUAGUACUUUGGCAUCAAGGAACUAUUAAAGUCACAACGGCAAAAGAUGAGCAUGCGUCCCAUUAGCUAGUUGGUAAGGUAACGGCUUACCAUGGCUACGAUGGGUAGGGGUCCUGAGAGGGAGAUCCCCCACACUGGUACUGAGACACGGAUCAGACUCCUACGGGAGGCAGCAGUGAGGAAUAUUGGUCAAUGGACGCAAGCCUGAACCAGCCAUGCCGCGUGCAGGAAGACGGUCAUAUGGAUUGUAAACUGCUUUUAUACAGGAAGAAACCCUCCCACGUGUGGGAGCUUGACGGUACUGUAGGAAUAAGGAUCGGCUAACUCCGUGCCAGCAGCCGCGGUAAAG
rnacentral:rRNA from 1 species